UAAACGUCUCAGUUCGGACUGUGGUCUGCAACCCGACCACACGAAGCUGGAAUCGCUAGUAAUCGCGAAUCAGAAUGUCGCGGUGAAUACGUUCCCGGGCCUUGUACACACCGCCCGUCACACCAUGAGAGUCGGGAACACCCGAAGUCCGUAGCCUAACCGCAAGGAGGGCGCGGCCGAAGGUGGGUUCGAUAAUUGGGGUGAAGUCGUAACAAGGUAGC
rnacentral:rRNA from 1 species